rnacentral:rRNA from 1 species
GAUGAACGCUGGCGGCGUGCCUAAUACAUGCAAGUCGAGCGAACGGACGAGAAGCUUGCUUUUCUGAUGUUAGCGGCGGACGGGUGAGUAACACGUGGAUAACCUACCUAUAAGACUGGGAUAACUUCGGGAAACCGGAGCUAAUACCGGAUAAUAUUUUGAACCGCAUGGUUCAAAAGUGAAAGACGGUCUUGCUGUCACUUAUAGAUGGAUCCGCGCUGCAUUAGCUAGUUGGUAAGGUAACGGCUUACCAAGGCAACGAUGCAUAGCCGACCUGAGAGGGUGAACGGGCACACUGGAACUGAGACACGGUCCUGACUCCUACGGGAGGCAGCAGUAGGGAAUCUUCGGCAAUGGGCGAAAGCCUGACGGAGCAACGCCGCGUGAGUGAUGAAGGUCUUCGGAUCGUAAAACUCUGUUAUUAGGGAAGAACAAAUGUGUAAGUAACUGUGCACAUCUUGACGGUACCUAAUCAGAAAGCCACGGCUAACUACGUG